rnacentral:lncRNA from 1 species
GUUUUACCCUAUGCCUCUUUUAGUUUAUGAAUAAGAUCAAUGCAAUGUGAAAAAUGUAAAGUUAUAUCACCUUUUACAUUUCAAAUAAAUAUUUUGUGUGAUAUUUCCUGAGAUGGGUGACAGGAAUGUGAGCAGAUCACUGUUCAUGGCUUCCACAAGAAGAUGUUUCUCCAGGCCCAUUGCUGUCCAUAUACAUGCCAGUGUACCUAAAUUACAGGAAAAUUUUAAGUGGUCUCCAUAGUUCUCGACCCUUCUAGUUUAAGAUUCACUGACUUCUUAUCCUGUGUAUCAGUUAUAAUCUUGAUGCACAACAAACAUCUCAAACUACACCACUUAGUAAGAACAAGUUGUUGCUCACAGGUUUCCAGAUAGUUUGGUGGCUUGGCUUUUCUUUGUUUGCUUUCUGUCUGAGUGCUGGUCUAUGAUCAUCUCAGUGGAAGGGCAGAGUUCUCAUCAUCUCUCACCCUCUAGUAAGCCAGUUUUCCUUUCGCAUGGUGGUGGUUAUGUCCUGACUGCAAGUACAGAAGCACACAGGCCUGGUGAGGCCCAGUUUUAAAAGGUAUUCUGUAGUUUGGUAACAAGACACAAAAGCCAGCCAUAAUUGCAGGGGAGGGAUAUUACUUCAGCCUUUGUUUGGAAUUGCAUAGAAGUUACACUGUACACAAUGUGGAAGUAAGGAUAGAGGGUAAUUUUCUCUGUUUAUUGUCAUCAUCUCAAUUUAUGAUAAAGAAAAAUAAAACACAUUUGCCUUGGGAUGCUCAAUGAAAACCAUCAUAAGCAUCAUGGACAACCCUGAAAGACCUGCUUGGCUAACAAUGUAAAGUGAAUUUUUUAAUCACUCUUUGAUUGUUUUCCCCAACCUGCUUCCCGUUCUUGCCAUUUCUAGAAGAUUUAAAAGAAGCCACCAGGGAAAAGCAGGAUAUAUUUCAAAGAUGCUCCUCUCUAGGAAAAGUUAACUAGAAGUGAAAAGAUUUUCUGUGUCUCAUCACUGAAGAUGAAAAACUAUAUUUACAUGGAAGUGUUCUCAUUUACGCCAUCCUCUGAGUGAGUCAACAAACUCAACAGUUUCAUCCUAAGAGAGAUUGACAGGUUCUCUAUUAACAAAUGGUGUCAUAGAGCAUAAGAACAGGGUUCAUAAAGGUGAUUGGCCAGUCCUCUUACUUCACUCAAUGAGUCAUUUUUUUUCUGGUUAUUUUUGUUCCUGUUGUUGCUUCUUUUGUUUUCUGAAAGCAAAAGGGUCAAGUAGCCUUUAGCCCAGGUUGUUUCAACCUCACUGAAACAAUACCUGAGAGGGAAAAUUCAUUGGAAGGAGCUUUGUUUGGCUCAUGGUUUUAGAAUUCUUAGUCUGUGACUAUGUGAUCUGUGACUAAGAUGAGACAACAUUUGUUUGAAGUGUAUGGCUUAAGAACAUGACUACCUCAUGGGGGCCAGGAAGCAAGAAAAGGAACCAACCAAA